rnacentral:rRNA from 1 species
GACGAACGCUGGCGGCGUGCCUAACACAUGCAAGUCGAGCGAGUGAAUCUCCUUCGGGAGUGAAGCUAGCGGCGGACGGGUGAGUAACACGUGGGCAACCUGCCUCAUAGAGGGGAAUAGCCUUCCGAAAGGAAGAUUAAUACCGCAUAAGAUUGUAGCUUCGCAUGAAGUAGCAAUUAAAGGAGCAAUCCGCUAUGAGAUGGGCCCGCGGCGCAUUAGCUAGUUGGUGAGGUAACGGCUCACCAAGGCGACGAUGCGUAGCCGACCUGAGAGGGUGAUCGGCCACAUUGGGACUGAGACACGGCCCAGACUCCUACGGGUGGCAG